rnacentral:misc_RNA from 1 species
GUGGGAGGGGGCUUGCCCCCGAUGACUACCGAUCAGCCAACUAACCUGUGACUGGCCCACCGCCAUCGGGGGCAAGCCCCCUCCCAC